GGCCGGUGAGCCAUACGGUUGAGGCACCGCCCUUUCAAGGCGGGGAACCGGGUUCGAUUCCCGGAUCGGCUA
rnacentral:tRNA from 1 species